UACGUAGGGCGCAAGCGUUGUCCGGAAUUAUUGGGCGUAAAGAGCUCGUAGGUGGCGUGUCGCGUCUGCCGUGAAAGCCCAUGGCUUAACUGUGGGUCUGCGGUGGAUACGGGCAGGCUGGAGGCUGGUAGGGGCAAGCGGAAUUCCUGGUGUAGCGGUGAAAUGCGCAGAUAUCAGGAGGAACACCGGUGGCGAAGGCGGAUCUCUGGGCCUUACCUGACGCUCAGGCGCGAAAGCUAGGGGAGCGAACAGG
rnacentral:rRNA from 1 species